rnacentral:rRNA from 1 species
CCUAACACAUGCAAGUCGAGCGGAAACGAGUUAUCUGAACCUUCGGGAACGAUAACGGCGUCGAGCGCGGACGGGUGAGUAAUGCCUGGGAAAUUGCCCUGAUGUGGGGGAUAACCAUUGGAAACGAUGGCUAAUACCGCAUAAUAGCUUCGGCUCAAAGAGGGGGACCUUCGGGGCCUCUCGCGUCAGGAUAUGCCCAGGUGGGAUUAGCUAGUUGGUGAGGUAAGGGCUCACCAAGGCGACGAUCCCUAGCUGGUCUGAGAGGAUGAUCAGCCACACUGGAACUGAGACACGGUCCAGACUCCUACGGGAGGCAGCAGUGGGGAAUAUUGCACAAUGGGCGCAAGCCUGAUGCAGCCAUGCCGCGUGUAUGAAGAAGGCCUUCGGGUUGUAAAGUACUUUCAGCAGUGAGGAAGGUUCAUGCGUUAAUAGCGUAUGGAUUUGACGUUAGCUGCAGAAGAAGCACCGGCUAACUCCGUG